UGGGGAAUAUUGGACAAUGGGGGCAACCCUGAUCCAGCAAUGCCGCGUGUGUGAAGAAGGUCUUCGGAUUGUAAAGCACUUUCGACGGGGACGAUGAUGACGGUACCCGUAGAAGAAGCCCCGGCUAACUUCGUGCCAGCAGCCGCGGUAAUACGAAGGGGGCUAGCGUUGCUCGGAAUGACUGGGCGUAAAGGGCGUGUAGGCGGUUUACACAGUCAGAUGUGAAAUCCCCGGGCUUAACCUGGGAGCUGCAUUUGAUACGUGUAGACUAGAGUGUGAGAGAGGGUUGUGGAAUUCCCAGUGUAGAGGUGAAAUUCGUAGAUAUUGGGAAGAACACCGGUGGCGAAG
rnacentral:rRNA from 1 species